CACGUAGGGCGCAAGCGUUGUCCGGAAUUAUUGGGCGUAAAGAGCUCGUAGGCGGUCUGUUGCGUCCGCUGUGAAAACUCGGGGCUUAACCCCGAGCCUGCAGUGGAUACGGGCAGACUAGAGGUAGGUAGGGGAGAAUGGAAUUCCCGGUGUAGCGGUGAAAUGCGCAGAUAUCAGGAGGAACACCGGUGGCGAAGGCGGUGAUCUGGGCCGACACUGACGCUGUAGAGCGAAAAGCGUGGGGGAGCGAACAGG
rnacentral:rRNA from 1 species